rnacentral:hammerhead_ribozyme from 1 species
GCCCUGCUGAGGUGUCCCACAAUAGGAUGAAACGGCCGUCUAGUGU